rnacentral:lncRNA from 1 species
AACGUCUUUCACUUUACGCUUUCUCGAGCUUCCUCUGAAAUUAUAGACGAACUGAAGACGAAGAGCUAAAGGUGAAGAAUUGAUAUCACGAACCCGAAGAUCGAUGAACUGAGCUAAAGGUUAUGAACUGAGCUAGAGAUUUCUUUGAUAGUGAAGAUCGAGGAACCGAGAUGAAGCUGAAUAAUUGAAGAAAGACGAACUGAGCUGAAGAUGAAUAGCUAAAGCUAAAGAAAUGAAGGGCGAAAGCUGAAGAACAGAAGAUUUGAGCUGAAGAUUUCUCCAAUAUUGGUUUUGUCAAGCGUAAUUACCGAUUUCCUCAAGCUUAAGAUUAAGCAGAAGUGAUUGCUUUGGGGUUGUUACAACUUAACUUCCAAAGUAGGAGAUGAAAUUGUCGUAAAUCUCAUCGCCAUUACCUUGGUUUAUUCAGCAGACGAGAAAGAGGGAACUACUACUCGGAAGCCUUUGAAUCGGUUAGUAUCUAUCUUAUUUUCCUGCUGGUUUCUUAAAAACAUACUUAUGAUGUUAGUUUCUCACAUUGCGCAGAAAGGUUUGGAUGAUAAUGACCUGUGCUUGGAGGGUAAUUUUAUGGUGGAAUUUUUUCAUAUAAAUAAGAACAAUUGAAUUCUAACUAUUUCUUUGUUACUUGAAUUCUAAAUUUUUUAAUCGCUUCACUAUUUUGCUUGUUUUAUCUUCAAUGGAUGUAACAUUGGGUCCUCGUAAUGGAUGAAGAAGAUAAAAAUCUUUUCCUUCUCCGACGAGCAUUUGUAUAAAUGCUCAUGUAUUUAUGACACAACUUGUGCUUGCGAAUCUUUUUGAAUUUUUUUGUAUUUUACCUUAUAUUUUUGUAAUGAUAUGGUGCUGUCAUCGGUGUCCACAACAUAUGAAAUGAAUCUUUUAGGGAUUAAUCUAUGAUUUUCCUUCAAAGCAACCAGCAAGUGAUUCAUUGUAUCUUUGUAGAGUGUUCCACAAAGUUUUAAGUACCUUCUCUAGCUUGUAACAACACAUAUAGGGUAACAUUCUCUAUAAUUUUUUCACUUUCCGCAUUUAUCUUUUAUGGGUGCGUCUCUGAUUGAAUGACCUUUUGUUCUAUCCGUAAACUAUUAUGCUUCUUGAUGAUCAAAUUAAUUUUACAUGCUGUCCAUUAUGUUUUUAUAAAUUCCUAAUAUAUAUAACGAUGCAAAUUCAAAUCAAUCAGAAAUUUCUUUUACUAUUUUCUAGGAACUUAUUAUGUUAAAUAUCAUAUCUUGUAAGAAGUCAGUAUAGAAUGGACUUGCUAGCGAAACUGUAGAGAUUAUUUUUAAUAGAAUACCUUUUGCUUAGUAAUACACUCUUUAGCUAUCCGAUAAAUUACUGCAUUAUAUUUGUACAUUUGAGUUGCUUUGGGUUACAACCUCCUUUCCAAUUCAUGUAUUGGAUUAGUUAUUGGUAAUAAAUUUCCUCGGUUCACCUUUGAUACAUAUUUGAGUCCACAAGUAGGUAAAUAUCCAUCUAUAAUUCCAUUUACUCUUUUGUUAGCAUAUUCUCAUUUUAAAUCUUUGUUUAAAUAUAUAAUAAAUGAAGAAGGAAGAUUGAGUAAGUAAUGUAAGGUAAGUAUACUUGAAAACAUGUGUUCUCAUUUACUAGUUCUAUAGAAGAAUGAGAACGACAGAAUAAUUUAGAUUGAAUCAACACUUACCAAAAAGUUUUCACAAGGAAUAUGUUACAUUUAAAUUACAAAUUUAAGGGUGUGUUACAAACUGCUAUAC